CCCCUCUCAGGAUUGCACCUGGAGAGUUUCCAGUACUCUACCAGUCUUGACUACAGGAGAGGGAGUCAAGCAGAGGCCUUUCCAUUCCAUUCCUAGCUUGGGCGGUGGCUAGCGAGUAGAAGGCAAUCUGCUACAAGU
rnacentral:snoRNA from 1 species